rnacentral:rRNA from 1 species
GUCUACAGCCAAUCCACCCUGAACACACCUGAUCCCAUCUGAUCUUAGAAGCUAAGCAGAGUCAGGACUGGUUAGUACCUGGAUGGGAUAAAACUGAGAAAAUAUCAUGAACAGACA